CACGUUGGCGGCACUGAGCGCCGGAAGUGUAGGGAAGGACGCGAACGCCGCUGCACACUUCCGGUAUCGCCAUCUUUACACUUCGGAAGCGUGUGGUGUUGCGUCCUGUUUUAUCGCGUUAUUUUACGGAGACAUUGACUUGGUUCUCGUACGAGCUGCAAAAUGCCAGGUUUUAGCAGCGUUGGCACGUUCAAAAUCUUCAUUGGCAAUUUAGCCGACAAAACCUCAAAUGCUGACAUCAAGCCACUCUUUGAGAAGUAUGGCAAGGUUGUGGAAUGCGAUGUGGUAAAGAAUUAUGGCUUUGUGCAUAUGGAAAAUGAAGAAGCAGGACGAAACGCAAUACAGAAUCUGAAUGGGCACAUUGUCCACGGACAACCAAUCAAGUGCGAGGCGGCGAAGAGUCGUAAGGGACCGAACACUCCCACGACGAAGAUCUUUGUCGGUAAUCUUACAGACAACACGAAGGCGCCGCAAGUACGCGAGCUGUUUGCCAAAUAUGGCACAGUCGUCGAAUGCGACAUCGUAAGAAACUACGGUUUCGUUCAUCUGGAGGCAACCGGGGACGUGAACGAUGCCAUCAAGGAGCUGAACGGGCAGAUCGUCGAUGGCCAACCGAUGAAGGUCCAGAUCUCGACGAGCAGAGUGCGACAGAGGCCAGGCAUGGGGGAUCCGGAGCAAUGCUACCGUUGCGGACGAGGCGGUCACUGGUCCAAGGAAUGUCCCAAAGGAGGUAUGGGAGGUGGUCCAGAUAGGAAUGGAUACAGGGACAGAAUGUUCGGACGUGAUCCUUAUCCACCACCACCACCACCACCAUUCCUGCGGGACCGACUCAUGGGAGGUGGCCGCUUUGGGGAUUACGAUACCUACUACGAAAGGAGAGGCUUCGAGGACAGCAGGGAUCUCUACGAGAGGCGGUUUACGGGUAUGGGAUCCAUGCGUGACACUGGCUUCUCCCGUGGCAAUGAGUAUGGGAUGUUCAGCCGCCGAUCACCUCCUCCGAGUGGCAACAACGGCCGGUUCAGUGCACCUCAGGCGUACCAUCUUUGUCCAUGAACGCGGGCAACCCUAGAGAGACAGUCCCGGGUCAGCGUUCAAGUCGUACAAGACGCUCCCUAUUACGUACAUCACUCAGCCGGGAGUGGCGCGGAGGCCUGGGAUGAAGAAACGUUCCUAAGGAAUGCGAACUAGAAUUUCUUGAUCGCACUACCGCGAACCAGGAUGCAAUCUGCAAUUUUAAAUAAAAACUCUCGUACGCUGUAGAUAGAGAAAAAGAAAGAAAAAAGAAAAAAAAAGAAACAGGGCUGGCGCGAUUUUGGAAUGGCACAUCGAAUCGAUUGUCUUUGAAACGUGUCGUAAGUAGAAACCAGCUCUCCAGACGAUUUGGAUUAGUAAGUUAGUUACACGUAUUGGCGCCCUUCCGUACUCAUUUUUUUCCAAGUUUUCCAAGCCAGUUUCAAAUACUUCCGAGCGAAUAAUUUUACGAAGUUUUCUUUCUCUAUAGUUGCGGUUUCCUUAAUGCCGACUAGAACUGAUGCCUUUAGACACACGAGGAUUAUUCCUUUCGUCGGUUUAACUUGCAUAUCGAGUGUUACCGACAACUAUAUAAGUCAGACAUAACAAAUGUGUCAAACUGGCAACAUCGUUGAAAUUUAUGGAAUCGAGAUGUCCGUUUCUUCUUUUUCUUUUUUUUUCCUUUUUUUCUUAAGCAACGUGAAAAAGUUGUAUAUUUUCCUUUAUCUUCAUACGCAAUACGUAUCUUGUAGUUGUAAGAUGUUUAUUUCCCAAUCAAAACUGCAAAAUGAUAAAUUUUUUUCUUUUCGUUAUUUUGUUAAUAUGAUUGUAUUUGCAUUAGGCAGCAAACUUUUUAUGUCAAUAAUUGAGAUCGUAUCAAUGAAUAUAUCAAUUUAAAGUACAUUCAUCUGUUCUAAUUUCGUGGUAUUUUCACCGUUGUCUUAAAUUACGCCUAAAAUUGGAGUGCUAUGGACAAAAAAAACGUAUAAAAAUGACGCGAAAAGAUUUCGAGCUCGUUUGUGCUCCAUCGAGCUUGUAAUCCAUAGUUCUUGAAGCUGACUUCUACUCACGAGGUUCAAAGCUUUUCAUGUAUGUAAAUCCACUCGCAAACUUCAAAUAGAGAAGAGAAUUGAUUGAAUUUCUCAGUUUUUCUA
rnacentral:misc_RNA from 1 species